rnacentral:rRNA from 1 species
GAGUAGGUCGGUCCCCCACCCGACCCGUCUUGAAACACGGACCAAGGAGUCUUACUGCGGUGCGAGUCUAGGGGAUUGAAUUCCCUACGGCGUAGCGAAAGCGAAGAUCGCGAUCCCUUCGGCUUUAUAGUCGACGGGCGCAGCGACCGCCUUUCCUAGACCAAGGAGGAAGGAGCGAGAGCACCUCGGUAAGGACCCGAUAGGUGGUGAACUAUUCUCGGGCAGGACGAAGGCCGAGGAAACUCGGCUGGAGGUCCGAAGCGGUUCUGACGUGCAAAUCGAUCGCCAGACCCGAGUAUAGGGGCGAAAGACCAAUCGAACCACC